rnacentral:rRNA from 1 species
CUGGAGACAGGUGGCUGCAUGGCUGUCGUCAGCUCGUGUCGUGAGAUGUUGGGUUAAGUCCCGCAACGAGCGCAACCCUUGCCUUUAGUUGCCAGCAGUUCGGCUGGGCACUCUAAAGGGACUGCCGGUGUUAAACCGGAGGAAGGUGGGGAUGACGUCAAGUCCUCAUGGCCUUUAUGACCAGGGCUACACACGUACUACAAUGGCCGAUACAAAGGGCAGCGACACUGCGAGGUGAAGCCAAUCCCGUAAAAUCGGUCUCAGUCCGGAUUGGAGUCUGCAACUCGACUCCAUGAAGUUGGAAUCGCUAGUAAUCGUGGAUCAGCAUGCCACGGUGAAUACGUUCCCGGGCCUU